GAAAUUCACUGGGCCUCCUGCUCCUUUAAACUCGCGCUUUCGCUCCCGCCGACACUUGACAAAAGCGGCGGCAGCGGGGCCGCGCCGAGCCAGCGCCUGGUGUCCCCGAGCGCGGGCCUGGGGGCCGGAGGGGCUCGCGGGGUCAGGGAGCCGCGGGGCUCUGGUUUGCUUUGCUUACCACCCCCAACUAAUGUGAGAGCAGCCCUCCUGGAAGGGCGCUGUAACGAACCCCUAGCGCGUAGCAGACCCCGCAGGCGCCCGAGCCGGGGCCGGGGGACCCCCGCCCCCACCCCCAGCCACCGCCGGGAGCGCAGGCGGCUAGGGAGCCAGGUGGGUGCGGGCAGCGCCCGGGCUGCCGAGGGCGCGGGCCGGUACGAGGAUGGCGCCCCGGCGGCGCGGGGAAGCCGCCCCGUGCUUCCCUCCCCUGUCUCCCCGCCGACUCCGCUCACGGCCGGCGCCCCGGACCGCCAGCGGCGGGGGCGCGCGGGGCUGGAGCUGCCCUCGCCCUUCCCCUGGCCGGGCCGUUCCGGCUUAGGCUGUCGGCGACUCCGCUGCCAGCCAAGGAAAGUGCAGCCAUUGGGCAGCCUCAUUUUCCGGGCUUCGGACCUCAGCUCUUCGAGCUGCCCAUCGCUCCGGCGGCCAGAAAGGACGCGCGCCCUGCGCUGGGCGAAGGAAAGAAGCAAAAACUCGUCGGAGGGGCUUCCCUAGCCGAGACCCCCCUGCCUGAAAAUCGAGGCCUCCCGCUGGGACCGUCCCAGGGCUGGGGAAAGUUCCUCGGAACCCACAGCGCCCUUGGAUUUGGAGCCUGCCGCGGCGCUGGCUGUGGAAUCCGCUCUGCUCGGAGCCCAGCGGAGCGCGUCGCGGGCGCUAGGAAGCCGCCGUCUGCGGGCGCCGGAGCGGCGCUGCCCGUGCGGAGCCGAGAGUUUGCAGCAGCCCCGGCCGCGAGUGGGCCCGUCGCCCCGCGGUUGUUUCCUGCGCGGGGCGCGGCGGCGAGGUCGGCAAGUUGCGAGGAGACCCUCAUGGGUCCAGAGAGGGCUGCGCUCCGCUCCGACUCGCAUCCCUUCCUGCUGUCCCCGGCGCUCGGGCGUGAAAUCGAUGGCGACGUGUACGGGAGGCCUCCUGGGUCCCGACGAUACUGAUCUGCGGCG
rnacentral:lncRNA from 1 species